ACCAUCUCCGACCUCAGAUCGGACGAGAUUACCCGCUGAAUUUAAGCAUAUAACUAAGCGGAGGAAAAGAAACUAAAAAGGAUUUCCCCAGUAACGGCGAGUGAAGCGGAAAUAGCCCAUCACCGAAUCCCUCAGUGUCACGCUGACGGGAACUGUGGUGUAUGGGACGCCACCAGUCGCAUCAGUGGGCACCGAAGUCCUCCUGAUCGAGGUUUCACCCUGUGCGGCCGCGAGCGUCUCAGGAGUCGGGUUGUUUGGGAAUGCAGCCCAAAGCGGGUGGUAAACUCCAUCUAA
rnacentral:rRNA from 1 species